CGUAGGGUGCAAGCGUUAAUCGGAAUUACUGGGCGUAAAGCGUGCGCAGGCGGUUGUGCAAGACAGAUGUGAAAUCCCCCGGGCUUAACCUGGGAACUGCAUUUGUGACUGCACGGCUAGAGUGUGUCAGAGGGGGUAGAAUUCCACGUGUAGCAGUGAAAUGCGUAGAUAUGUGGAGGAAUACCGAUGGCGAAGGCAGCCCCCUGGGAUAACACUGACGCUCGUGCACGAAAGCGUGGGGAGCAAACAGGAUUAGAUACCCUGGUAGUCCACGCCCUAAACGAUGUCAACUAGUUGUCGGGUCUUAAUUGACUUGGUAACGCAGCUAACGCGUGAAGUUGACCGCCUGGGGAGUACGGUCGCAAGAUUA
rnacentral:rRNA from 1 species